rnacentral:rRNA from 1 species
UGGGGAAUUUUGGACAAUGGGCGAAAGCCUGAUCCAGCAAUGCCGCGUGUGUGAAGAAGGCCUUCGGGUUGUAAAGCACUUUUGUCCGGAAAGAAAUCCUUGGCUCUAAUACAGUCGGGGGAUGACGGUACCGGAAGAAUAAGCACCGGCUAACUACGUGCCAGCAGCCGCGGUAAUACGUAGGGUGCAAGCGUUAAUCGGAAUUACUGGGCGUAAAGCGUGCGCAGGCGGUUUGCUAAGACCGAUGUGAAAUCCCCGGGCUCAACCUGGGAACUGCAUUGGUGACUGGCAGGCUAGAGUAUGGCAGAGGGGGGUAGAAUUCCACGUGUAGCAGUGAAAUGCGUAGAGAUGUGGAGGAAUACCGAUGGCGAAGGCAGCCCCCUGGGCCAAUACUGACGCUCAUGCACGAAAGCGUGGGGAGCAAACAGGAUUAGAUACCCUGGUAGUCCACGCCCUAAACGAUGUCAACUAGUUGUUGGGGAUUCAUUUCCUUAGUAACGUAGCUAACGCGUGAAGUUGACCGCCUGGGGAGCACGGUCGCAAGAUUAAAACUCAAAGGAAUUGACGGGGUCAU